UAUAUGUUCAGGUCACCAGACAAUUAAGUCAAAUUGAGCCUCCAAUGGGCUGUGACAAACCAGGCGUGUGGCUCCGCUUGGAGAGAAUCAACUGCAAAACACAACAAGGAUGCAGGACAAACAAACCACAGGCACUCCAGAGAUGUCUCCAGUAAUGGAUAUCUAGCUGUCAUGGCAGUAUUGAUUGCUCAGACCUGCAGAUUAUUGCUCUGAAGAGUGACCAACAGCAACCCACCCUGGUUGCUGAAGGCCCUUAGGGAGCGGGGCCAGUCCAGGGCCUGACCUUUCCUUCCUCAGCCAGCCGCAUUCACACACAGGCUGGGGGAAUGCAUCCAUGCUUCUCACUUCAACAUUCCUCUAAUUACCAGCCACAAACAAAGAUGUUACCAGCAUCAGCUCAAAUAAGGGCUGGGCUGUUGGUUGACCAUCACUCCACAUCUGGGUUGGGUUGGGUGAAAUACGAGCCUUUUUCGAAUUGCUCCAACCUUUUAAUGUUGCAAACAAUUGCAAAACAAGUUCUGUAUCGUAAUGGAAAAACUUAAUGACAGAUCAACCCAUUUGCUAUCCUAGCCAAUUUGGAAAGGGUUAAACUAAAUAAAGGCUAUUUCUGUCAAGAUUGCAUUUUAAUGAAGUCAUCCCCAAGCACAAGCACUUGUAGCUACACAGCUGUUCUCAAGAAAUACACCAGGAUUUCAGCCUGUCUGCUGGUGUCUACGGACACAUCAUCUGCAUUCAUCCCAGGGUUUUGCAAUUAUAAUGAAUAUUAAUGGCUGUUUUUCUGCUACAUAAUAUUAUCAUAAUGACUCUACAAAGUAAAUGCAGACAUCCUAAAACCAUCAUCUAUCAUAACUAUGUCCCAAAGCAGCAAUACUGUCAUCCUCUGCUAAAACAAAGUCAUCAACCAAACAACAGUAGUUCUGAAUGUUCAUCUGCGGGUUGGAACUGUACUUGUUGUACUAUGUAUAAAUGUUCAAUGUUGUACAAGACCAUACCAAUGAAAGAAAAUACACACCCUCUCAGUGGCCAUUGUUCCAAUCCUUCAAACUCUGAUGUAAACAUUCUUCAACUGUCCAAUAAACAAAUGCAGUUGGGCAAAUAAAACGAAAUG